rnacentral:lncRNA from 1 species
UACGAGUGUUGUCGUCCCAGCGAGAUCCACAACCAACCGGUGUUGCAAGGUCGGCGGCCAACCCCAACUUGCCUGUUGCAACUUGCAAGGUGUCAUCCCACCACUGGUUCGUCGCCGGAGUGGGAGAGGGCAUGGGGUGGUUGUCGUUCCGCUCGGAGCAAUCUGGGGACUCGUAUUCGAAGGUUUGCUGAAUUUAAGGAAGAAAGAAGAAAGAAU